UGGCGGCACUAGCGCGGUGGUCCCACCUGACCCCAUGCCGAACUCAGAAGUGAAACGCCGUAGCGCCGAUGGUAGUGUGGGUCUCCCAUGUGAGAGUAGGGAACUGCCAGGCA
rnacentral:rRNA from 1 species